GGAGAAGGAUGGCGAGCAGACCUGGACGGAGACCCUCCCUGAUGAAUACCCAAGGGACUGCCUCCGCACUCUGCACCUGCCUUGCAGGGGAGAGAAGAGGUCCUCUGAGUGCACAGAGAAGCUCUUUGGGCCAUCUUGGUCUCAGCAUUACCUCCUCUGAGAAGAGAAGAGACCUCAGUGAGCCAGGGAAGGGCUGGGACUGGCAUCGCGGGAAAGGAGAGGUUGGAUGGGAUGACUUCACAAAGCCCUGCAAGUGUGGUACUUUACUCUCUCCCUGAACCCAGCUAGAACCACUGAAGAGACCCUGAAGGACACCGGGGCCCAGAAGGCAAAAGGAGUCACUACUGGCAGGAAUUUGGUUGGACAUGUUUGCCUUCUUUCAACUCUAGGCAUUGUUUGAGUCUGGACAGUACUUUACAGAAGCCACAGUAAGCAGGAUGUAUAGGAUACAGCCAGGAAGUACUUCCUUGUGCCUACCCUACAUCUUGCAUGCUACAACUUCACUCCUCAGUGGAAAUGGAGAGAUGGAUGAUCCUCCC
rnacentral:lncRNA from 1 species